CUACCCAAUUUAAGUUUUCCUAAUAUUUACUAAAAUUAUUUUCCUAUAUAGAUAGUCCCUCUGAUUUUUGAGAUUAGAACUGACUAUCUUUGGAAAAUAGAAAGAUCUGAAAGCUAGCUGGUCCAAGACUUUAUCUAAGGCACUGUACCUACUUAAAUUAACCUCUCAUCUACAAACCAUGUGUCACCUUUUUUAGACAUAUUUUUCUCAUAUUUUCUUAGUCCUUUGAUAUUAUUUCUGCUUUUUUUCCUUGAUUCUUCCUUUUUUCAUUAUCCCUCAUCUUGCGUUAAGUGAUGUCAUCCUCCGACCUUUUUUCCAUGGAAGUGAAUGUUGUUGUUGCUCUUACCAAGCUAGGUUGUGCUCUCAGACCUCGAAUGAAACUACUCGCCGGUAGCAAGAUAAGUACAUGUUAUCAGCUUAGAUUUGCUUCCAUGUAAGCCUUAUCUUUUGGAGAUUUGGAAGAUCCUUGGGUCUGCGUGCUCGAAAGAGUGUACUAUAUUUCUACCUAUAAAGUAUGGAUCUCUAAGGAUCACGGAGGUGGGGCUCCACAUAGUAAGGUCAUGAAACAUCAAAGUGGGUGUGAUCAUUUCUCGCUUGCUUCAUUGAUUGUAUAAUAAUAUAUUCUAUUUAUUAUGGAGGUAGAUUUACCAAUCAGUAUGAAAACAUUAUAACUCUUCUUAAUGGUUUAAAAUGCAAACAUUUAGGAGAAUUUA